rnacentral:pre_miRNA from 1 species
UACAUACUCCCUCCGUUCCAAAAUAGAUGACUCAACUUUAUACUAAAGUUAAUACAAAGUUGAGUCAUCUAUUUUGGAACGGAGGGAGUACAAU